CGGACGGGUGAGUAACGCGUGGGGAACCUGCCCUGUACCGGGGGAUAGCAGCCGGAAACGGCUGAUAAUACCGCAUAAGCGCACGAAUGUCGCAUGACAUGGUGUGAAAAACUCCGGUGGUAUAGGAUGGACCCGCGUCUGAUUAGCCAGUUGGUGGGGUAAAAGCCUACCAAAGCGAAGAUCAGUAGCCGAGUUGAGAGACUGACCGGCCACAUUGGGACUGAGACACGGCCCAGACUCCUACGGGAGGCAGCAGUU
rnacentral:rRNA from 1 species